rnacentral:rRNA from 1 species
CUGGCGGCGUGCCUUAAGCAUGCAAGUCGAACGCACCGCGAGGUGAGUGGCGGACGGCUGAGGAAAACCGGAGGAACCUACCCUGGGGAGGGGGGACGACCCCCGCCGAAAGCGGGGUCAACCCCCGCCGUACGCCUCAUCUGGGAAGAACAGGUGAGGGAAAAGGGGCAACCUGCCCUAGGAGGGGGCUCUGGUCCCAUCAGGUAGUUGGAGUGGUAAGAGCACCCCCAAGCCGAUGACGGGUCGCUGGUCUGAGAGGAUGAUCAGCCAGACGGGGACUGAGAACGGCCCCGACUCCUACGGGAGGCAGCAGCUAGGAAUCUUGCGCAAUGGGCGAAAGCCUGACGCAGCGACGCCGCGUGGGGGACGAAGGUCUUCGGAUUGUAAACCCCUUUUGUCGGGGACGAGCAAGGACGGUACCCGACGAAGAAGCCCCGGCUAACUACGUGCCAGCCGCAGC